rnacentral:rRNA from 1 species
CCGNNGGAUCAUGGAAGNAAGGUUCUGAAUGGGAGCAACGCCGCGUGAACGAUGAAGGUCUUCGGAUUGUAAAGUUCUGUUGUUAGGGACGAACAAGUACCGUUCGAAUAGGGCGGUACCUUGACGGUACCUGACGAGAAAGCCACGGCUAACUACGUGCCAGCAGCCGCGGUAAUACGUAGGUGGCAAGCGUUGUCCGGAUUUAUUGGGCGUAAAGCGCGCGCAGGCGGCUAUGUAAGUCUGGUGUUAAAGCCCGGAGCUCAACUCCGGUUCGCAUCGGAAACUGUGUAGCUUGAGUGCAGAAGAGGAAAGCGGUAUUCCACGUGUAGCGGUGAAAUGCGUAGAGAUGUGGAGGAACACCAGUGGCGAAGGCGGCUUUCUGGUCUGUAACUGACGCUGAGGCGCGAAAGCGUGGGGAGAAAACAGGAUUUAGUACCCCCCGGGAAGCAA